CCUGCACACUGUUAAAGCUUGAUGCUGAGGCUGGUUCCUGGCCGAUGAGCUCUCAAGUGUCGGAAGUGUGCUACAGCAAGCAGCAGGGUGUUCGCUGACACCGGGAGGGGAGCUCCCUCUGUGACCGGAGUUUGAUAGUAGGCCCUGCCACAUGC